rfam:Rozella allomycis CSF55 unplaced genomic scaffold scaffold_3850, whole genome shotgun sequence.
GGGCUCAUAGCUCAGUUGGUAGAGCGCACGCUUUGCAUGUGUGAGGCCCCGAGUUCAAACCUCGGUGAGUCCA